rnacentral:ncRNA from 1 species
GUUAGUCCCGUUUAUGCGGUGGCCAUCCAGAGGUAAGAGGUGCCAAAGGCACCCGCCGCCGCAGUUCUCCCGUGAGGGAGAAUAAGCGGGACAGGAGGA